UACGUAGGGGGCAAGCGUUGUCCGGAAUCAUUGGGCGUAAAGAGCGCGUAGGCGGUCCGGUAAGUCCGCUCUGAAAGCCCGGGGCUCAACCCCGGGAGGCGGGCGGAUACUGUCGGGCUAGAGUCCGGAAGAGGCGAGUGGAAUUCCCAGUGUAGCGGUGAAAUGCGUAGAUAUUGGGAGGAACACCAGUGGCGAAGGCGGCUCGCUGGACCGGUUCUGACGCUGAGGCGCGAAAGCGUGGGGAGCAAACGGG
rnacentral:rRNA from 1 species